rnacentral:ncRNA from 1 species
CAAAAGCUGGCUUGAUCUUGAUAUUCAGUACGUAUCGGGACGGCUAAUGCCUGGCCUUACGAUCCUGUUGGCUUUAAAGAGUUUUUAACAAGAGGUGUCAGAAAAGUUACCACAGGGAUAACUGGCUU